UAAAAGAUGAUAAAAAUAUUUGGUCAUUCUUCAUUUGCCUUUUCGUGGUCUGUUGGGAGCCGCCAUGAAACCUUAGGGUUUGAACUUGGAUCUCUCCAUUGCUUUGAUGAUUUGUUGGUGAAUUUUUGAAGAUUUUACUGGGAAAUAAUUGGUAAGAUGUAGGAAAGGAGCAGCAAGGAAGCAACAACCAGACACAAGAUAGGUGGAAGACUAAAUAUGAUACCAGUCAACUCAAUUAGAGCUCAUCAUUCAAGCAAUGACGAAUCACCCUUCUUUAUAUGUGCAUUUAUCUUUCCUUGCAUCUAAAAAUGCAUAAUGUUUUCUUUAAUUUACAUUAUAAGAGUUAGUCUCACAACUUGUGUGAGACACUAUCAUUUAAAUUAUCAAUAAAGAUUACUUUUUCCUC